rnacentral:rRNA from 1 species
GAGUACGGCCGCAAGGCUGAAACUUAAAGGAAUUGGCGGGGGAGCACUACAACGGGUGGAGCCUGCGGUUUAAUUGGACUCAACGCCGGAAAACUCACCGGGGGCGACAGCAAUAUGUAGGUCAGGUUAAAGGUCUUACCUGAAUCGCUGAGAGGAGGUGCAUGGCCGUCGUCAGUUCGUACUGUGAAGCAUCCUGUUAAGUCAGGCAACGAGCAAGACCCGUGCCCACUGUUACCAGCAUAUCCUUUAUGGAUGAUGGGGACUCUGUGGGGACCGCUGCUGCUAAAGCAGAGGAAGGUGCGGGCUACGGUAGGUCAGUAUGCCCCGAAUCUCCCGGGCUACACGCGGGCUACAAUGGUUGGGACAAUGGGUAUCUACUCCGAAAGGAGUUGGCAAUCUCUUAAACCCAAUCGUAGUUCGAAUUGAGGGCUGUAACUCGCCCUCAUGAAGCUGGAAUCCGUAGUAAUCGCGUUUCAACAUAGCGCGGUGAAUCUGUCCCUGCUCCUUGCACACGCCGCCCGUCAAACCAUCCGAGUGAGGUAUGGGUGAGGGCAUGAACUUAGUGUCGUGCUCGAACCUAAAUUUCGCAAGGAGGGUUAAGUCGUAACAAGGUAGCCGUAGGGGAAUCUGCGGCUGGAUCACCUCCU